rnacentral:rRNA from 1 species
AAUAGAUACCCGGGUAGUCCACCCGUAACGUUGGGAACUAGUUGUGGGGUCCUUUCCACGGAUUCCGUGACGCAGCUAACGCAUUAAGUUCCCCGCCUGGGGAGUACGGCCGCAAGGCUAAAACUCAAAGGAAUUGACGGGGACCCGCACAAGCGGCGGAGCAUGCGGAUUAAUUCGAUGCAACGCGAAGAACCUUACCAAGGCUUGACAUACACGAGAACACCCUAGAAAUAGGGGACUCUUUGGACACUCGUGAACAGGUGGUGCAUGGUUGUCGUCAGCUCGUGUCGUGAGAUGUUGGGUUAAGUCCCGCAACGAGCGCAACCCUCGUUCUAUGUUGCCAGCACGUAAUGGUGGGAACUCAUGGGAUACUGCCGGGGUCAACUCGGAGGAAGGUGGGGAUGACGUCAAAUCAUCAUGCCCCUUAUGUCUUGGGCUUCACGCAUGCUACAAUGGCCGGUACAAGGGCUGCAAUACCGUGAGGUGGAGCGAAUCCCAAAAGCCGGUCCAGUUCGGAUUGAGGUCUGCAACUCGACCUCAUGAA